ACGGGUUAGUAACGCGUGGGAAUAUACCCUUCUCUACGGAAUAGCCUCGGGAAACUGAGAGUAAUACCGUAUAAGCCCUUCGGGGGAAAGAUUUAUCGGUGAAGGAUUAGCCCGCGUUAGAUUAGAUAGUUGGUGGGGUAAUGGCCUACCAAGUCUACGAUCUAUAGCUGGUUUUAGAGGACGAUCAGCAACACUGGGACUGAGACACGGCCCAGACUCCUACGGGAGGCAGCAGUGGGGAAUCUUAGACAAUGGGCGAAAGCCUGAUCUAGCCAUGCCGCGUGAGUGAUGAAGGCCCUAGGGUCGUAAAGCUCUUUCGCCAGGGAUGAUAAUGACAGUACCUGGUAAAGAAACCCCGGCUAACUCCGUGCCAGCAGCCGCGGUAAUACGGAGGGGGUUAGCGUUGUUCGGAAUUACUGGGCGUAAAGCGCGCGUAGGCGGAUUGGAAAGUUGGGGGUGAAAUCCCGGGGCUCAACCCCGGAACUGCCUCCAAAACUAUCAGUCUAGAGUUCGAGAGAGGUGAGUGGAAUUCCGAGUGUAGAGGUGGAAUUCGUAGAUAUUCGGAGGAACACCAGUGGCGAAGGCGGCUCACUGGCUCGAUACUGACGCUGAGGUGCGAAAGUGUGGGGAGCAAACAGGAUUAGAUACCCUGGUAGUCCACACCGUAAACGAUGAAUGCCAGUCGUCGGGCAGUAUACUGUUCGGUGACACACCUAACGGAUUAAGCAUUCCGCCUGGGGAGUACGGUCGCAAGAUUAAAACUCAAAGGAAUUGGCGGGGGCCCGCACAAGCGGUGGAGCAUGUGGUUUAAU
rnacentral:rRNA from 1 species